UCCGCAUUGGGGUAAUGGUUAACCCAUUACGCUUUCAAAAGCUCACAAGGCAUUGAAAGGUACCGUGAAGCUCGGGGUUCGAUUCCCCGAUGCGGAG